rnacentral:rRNA from 1 species
UACAGAGGUCUCAACCGUUGUUCGGAUUCAUUGGGCGUAAAGGGUGCGUAGGCGGUCGUGCAAGUCGGAUCUGAAAUCUCAGGGCUCAACCCUGAAACUGCAUUCGAUACUGUGCGGCUAGAGUGCUGGAGGGGAGACUGGAAUUUACGGUGUAGCAGUGAAAUGCGUAGAUAUCGUAAGGAAGACCAGUGGCGAAGGCGAGUCUCUGGACAGCAACUGACGCUGAGGCACGAAGGCCAGGGGAGCAAACGGG